ACGGCUCAGUAACACGUCGAUAAUCUGCCCUUGGGAUCCGGAUAACCUUGGGAAACUGAGGCUAACACGGGAUAGGGAAAUUCUACUGGAAUGUGUUUUUCCCCAAAGGUGACGCCCAAGGAUGAGUUGGCGGCGGAUUAGCUUGUUGGUGGGGUAAUGGCCCACCAAGGCAUUGAUCCGUAGGGGCCUUGGAAGAGGUAGCCCCGAGAAGGACACUGAGAUACUGGUCCUAGCCCCACGGGGUGCAGCAGGCGCGAAACCUUUACACUACACGCAAGUGUGAUAAGGGAAUUCCAAGUGCCUAUACUAAGUAUAGGCUUUUUUUGAGAGUAAAGUUCUCGAAGAAUAAGUGGUGGGUAAGACCGGUGCCAGCAGCCGCGGUAAUA
rnacentral:rRNA from 1 species